GACGUAGGGCGCGAGCGUUGUCCGGAUUUAUUGGGCGUAAAGAGCUCGUAGGCGGCUCGUUGCGUCGGCUGUGAAAACCCGCAGCUCAACUGUGGGCUUGCAGCUGAUACGGGCGGGCUGGGAUUCGGUAGGGGAGACUGGAAUUCCUGGUGUAGCGGUGAAAUGCGCAGAUAUCAGGAGGAACACCGGUGGCGAAAGCGGCUCACUGGACCAUAACUGACGCUGAUGCACGAAAGCUGGGGGAGCAAACAGG
rnacentral:rRNA from 1 species